rnacentral:tRNA from 1 species
CGGGGUGUGGCUCAGCUUGGUAGAGCACCUGCUUUGGGAGCAGGGGGUCGCAGGUUCAAAUCCUGUCACCCCGACCA